rnacentral:rRNA from 1 species
GUGCCAGCAGCCGCGGUAAGACAGAGGGUGCAAACGUUGCUCGGAAUCACUGGGCGUAAAGGGCGUGUAGGCGGGAAGGAAAGUCAGAUGUGAAAUCCCUGGGCUCAACCCAGGAACUGCAUUUGAAACUCCCUUUCUUGAGUACCGGAGAGGAAGGUGGAAUACCUGGUGUAGAGGUGAAAUUCGUAGAUAUCAGGUGGAACACCAGUGGCGAAGGCGGCCUUCUGGACGGUAACUGACGCUGAGACGCGAAAGCGUGGGGAGCAAACAGGAUUAGAAACCCUUGUAGUCC